UGGAUCUCAUUCUUCUGACUUGCCUCAUUUGCAACACUCUGUUGAAGUGGUACCUCUUUUUGGAUAGUAACAGUUUGCGCUGGAGCUUUGGUUCUCCAUUCCUGAGUUACGUUUGCCUUCUUCAUUUGAGUAGGUUGGUGUGUGUUUAACUUCAUUUGGGCCGAGCAGCUAUGACCAAUAAUUUGACACUUUUCACAAUA
rnacentral:lncRNA from 1 species